GCAAGUCGAGCGCAUCCUUCGGGGUGAGCGGCGGACGGGUUAGUAACGCGUGGGAACAUACCCUACUCUACGGAAUAGCCUCUGGAAACGGAGAGUAAUACCUUAUACGCCCUUCGGGGGAAAGAUUUAUCGGAGAAGGAUUGGCCCGCGUUAGAUUAGAUAGUUGGUGGGGUAACGGCCUACCAAGUCGACGAUCUAUAGCUGGUUUGAGAGGAUGAUC
rnacentral:rRNA from 1 species